UGUUGUGAGUGGAACAGAUAUUAACAAGAAGCUAGGUGUGAGGAAGGAGGGGCAAACAGUAAAAAUGAAAGUGAAACCUUUUGAGCAGAAUACUCCCACAAGUUUUUGGAUCUUUUUAUGUAUAGCCAGAGCUUGGUUAUAUUAUUCUUUCCCUGGAGGAGAACAUCUUAUAAUGGCAGCAGGCUGUAAAAGUGACCCAGUUUGGGAAUAUUUUAAUGAAUUUUCCUCUAUGUACAGGUAAGGCAGGCAUGUGUGCAAUUUAUGGAAAAUGAAUUAAAUCUAGUCUUACUGACUAGUGACUGAAAUUGUGAUUUAAACUGAUUUGAUUUAGAACAACUCCACCCUAACAAUAGCCCAAUGUAUGUUAUUUAACCUAAUAUGAGGAUA